CAGCCGCCGCGGGAAUACGGAGGGCGCGAGCGUUACCCGGAUUUACUGGGCGUAAAGGGCGUGUAGGCGGCCUGGGGCGUCCCAUGUGAAAGACCACGGCUCAACCGUGGAGGAGCGUGGGAUACGCUCAGGCUAGAGGGUGGGAGAGGGUGGUGGAAUUCCCGGAGUAGCGGUGAAAUGCGCAGAUACCGGGAGGAACGCCGAUGGCGAAGGCAGCCACCUGGUCCACUUCUGACGCUGAGGCGCGAAAGCGUGGGGAGCAAACCGGAUUAGAGACCCCUGUAGUCCCUGUCUCUUAUAC
rnacentral:rRNA from 1 species